AAACCAUGGUGAGGACACUGUUUUAGCAAACUCUUGAAUCUGUCUCAUGCUUCAAAUAGUGAUUCUCUAUCUUUCUGAGAAAAAUUUGUGAUGCAAUUCGUUAUGUAC